CGUGUUUGGAGGUUGGAGGUGGUUGGUGGUACACUGGUUGGGUUGUUGGCUCAAUUUGAUUGAUAGCCCAAAAAUGUCACUGGAAGUGGUAAAUCCACAUGAAGAGAGGAUUCUGCCUUGAGGUGGUCUAUAGAAUGUAUUGGCUUUGCUACCACAUUCAUACCUACAAGAAGACCCAUGUAAGACAUGAAUUUGAUCUUAUAUCCCAACCCUUGUAAAGGAAAACAACUUUUGAGCUUAUCCCAAUAAUGAAAUAAAUAAAUAAAUAAAAGAUAGAGAUCCUGGGCA